CUAGAGAUUAGUUUGAUCCUGGCUCAGAUUGAACGCUGGCGGCAGGCUUAACACAUGCAAGUCGAACGAGACCUUCGGGUCUAGUGGCGGACGGGUGAGUAACGCGUGGGAAUUUGCCUAUCGGUACGGAAUAACCAAGGGAAACUUUGGCUAAUACCGUAUACGCCCCAAGGGGGAAAGAUUUAUCGCCGAUAGAGAGGCCCGCGUCGGAUUAGCUAGUUGGUGGGGUAACGGCCUACCAAGGCGACGAUCCGUAGCUGGUCUGAGAGGAUGAUCAGCCACACUGGGACUGAGACACGGCCCAGACUCCUACGGGAGGCAGCAGUGGGGAAUAUUGGACAAUGGGGGAAACCCUGAUCCAGCCAUGCCGCGUGAGUGAUGAAGGCCUUAGGGUUGUAAAGCUCUUUCAGCGGGGAAGAUGAUGACGGUACCCGCAGAAGAAGCCCCGGCUAACUCCGUGCCAGCAGCCGCGGUAAUACGGGGGGGGCUAGCGUUGUUCGGAAUUACUGGGCGUAAAGCGCGCGUAGGCGGAUUGGAAAGUUGGGGGUGAAAUCCCAGGGCUCAACCCUGGAACUGCCUCCAAAACUAUCAGUCUAGAGUUCGAGAGAGGUGAGUGGAAUUCCGAGUGUAGAGGUGAAAUUCGUAGAUAUUCGGAGGAACACCAGUGGCGAAGGCGGCUCACUGGCUCGAUACUGACGCUGAGGUGCGAAAGUGUGGGGAGCAAACAGGAUUAGAUACCCUGGUAGUCCAC
rnacentral:rRNA from 1 species